rnacentral:snoRNA from 1 species
GUGAUGAAAUGCCCUAAAAGUUGAAUGGUGAUAUGGGCCCGUGUUACUGAA